CGCACAUUGCACUCUUCGGUAUUCCGGAGAGUAUGCCUGUUCGAGCGUCAUUAUAUCAUUCAAGCAUACCGCUUGGUCUUGGAUUGUCCACUGCCUUCAGGCGUGUGCAAUCUCAAAAUUAGUGAUGAAACCUAUGGCUUGUCAACGCGGUGAAAUUUAUUUCGUUCGACUUGUCAUGGGAUUUCCUUCAAAAAUCCAUACUUUCUAUAAUUUGACCUCGGAUCAGGUAGGGAUACCCGCUGAACUUAA
rnacentral:misc_RNA from 1 species